rnacentral:rRNA from 1 species
AUUGAACGCUGGCGGCAUGCCUAACACAUGCAAGUCGAGCGGGGUGUAGCAAUACAUCCAGCGGCGGACGGGUGAGGAAUACGUAGGAAUUUGCCUUAGAGCGGGGGAUAGCCCAGGGAAACUUGGAGUAAUACCGCAUGAUGUCGAGAGACCAAAGCAGGGGACCGCAAGGCCUUGCACUCUAAGAGAAGCCUACGUCUGAUUAGCUAGUUGGUGAGGUAAUGGCUCACCAAGGCGACGAUCAGUAACUGGUCUGAGAGGACGAUCAGUCACACUGGAACUGAGACACGGUCCAGACUCCUACGGGAGGCAGCAGUGGGGAAUAUUGGACAAUGGGCGCAAGCCUGAUCCAGCAAUGCCGCGUGUGUGAAGAAGGCCUUCGGGUUGUAAAGCACUUUAAGCAGGGAAGAAAAAACUCGGACUAACAUUUCGAGUCUUGACGGUACCUGAAGAAUAAGCACCGGCUAACUCUGUGCCAGCCGCCGCCGUAACAC